rnacentral:lncRNA from 1 species
CAACCACCCCCUGUUCACCCACGCCUGAUGUGUGUUACAGAUCUUACCUUCAUCAUCUCUUUGGACAAUUCUCUCAUGGUCGCCUGGAUUUCAGGGAUUUUCACUAAGCUCUGCAUAGCUUUCAUGACUUCUGUGCUCUUCUGCAACGAACCUGCUACUCUGAGGACAGCAAGCUGGUUCUUCAUUCCCAUGAGAACAGAGUUCAUGUGAGCUUUGGAGGCAUAGAGUUUGCUUACAGCCUUCCUAGAGCGGAUCAGUUCCUUGGCCAGGAUCACACACACAUCCUUCUGCCCCUUUUUGGCAGCAUCCUUUAUCGACCGCUUCACCUUUUCCUCUUCUCUCUGAAUAUCUCUGAUCUGUCUGUCAAUGACUCUCAUCUCCUUCCUUAUCUUCAGGGACCAUUCGUUGACCAGCUCCUUGGGCGGUUUCUCGGGGGUCUUCCCGAAGAGGCCCAUGGCGGAACCGGCCCGCCCGGCACCGCCUUCCCCGCCCCGCCCUCUGACGGGGCCUCGCGGCGCAGAGCCCUCCGCGCACGCGCCGA